rnacentral:rRNA from 1 species
UACGUAGGGGGCUAGCGUUGUCCGGAAUCAUUGGGCGUAAAGCGCGUGUCGGCGGUCCGGUAAGUCCGCUGUGAAAGUCGGGGGCUCAACCCUCGGAUGCCGGUGGAUACUGUCGGGCUUGAGUACGGAAGAGGCGAGUGGAAUUCCUGGUGUAGCGGUGAAAUGCGCAGAUAUCAGGAGGAACACCAAUUGCGAAGGCAGCUCGCUGGGACGUUACUGACGCUGAGACGCGAAAGCGUGGGGAGCAAACAGG